rnacentral:rRNA from 1 species
CUACGGGUCGCUGCAGUGGGGAAUAUUGCACAAUGGAGGAAACUCUGAUGCAGCAACGCCGCGUGGAGGAUGACACAUUUCGGUGCGUAAACUCCUUUUAUAUAAGAAGAUGAUGACGGUAUUAUAUGAAUAAGCACCGGCUAACUCCGUGCCAGCAGCCGCGGUAAUACGGGGGGUGCAAGCGUUACUCGGAAUCACUGGGCGUAAAGCGAGCGCAGGCGGGUAGAUAAGUUGGAAGUGAAAUCCUAUGGCUUAACCAUAGAACUGCUUCCAAAACUGUUUACCUAGAAUAUGGGAGAGGUAGAUGGAAUUUCUGGUGUAGGGGUAAAAUCCGUAGAGAUCAGAAGGAAUACCGAUUGCGAAGGCGAUCUACUGGAACAUUAUUGACGCUGAGGCUCGAAAGCGUGGGGAGCAAACAGGAUUAGAUACCCGAGUAGUC